rnacentral:rRNA from 1 species
AUUGAACGCUGGCGGCAUGCCUUACACAUGCAAGUCGAACGGUAACAGGUCUUCGGAUGCUGACGAGUGGCGAACGGGUGAGUAAUACAUCGGAACGUGCCUAGUAGUGGGGGAUAACUACUCGAAAGAGUGGCUAAUACCGCAUGAGAUCUACGGAUGAAAGCAGGGGAUCGCAAGACCUUGUGCUACUAGAGCGGCUGAUGGCAGAUUAGGUAGUUGGUGGGAUAAAAGCUUACCAAGCCGACGAUCUGUAGCUGGUCUGAGAGGACGAUCAGCCACACUGGGACUGAGACACGGCCCAGACUCCUACGGGAGGCAGCAGUGGGGAAUUUUGGACAAUGGGCGAAAGCCUGAUCCAGCAAUGCCGCGUGCAGGAUGAAGGCCUUCGGUUGUAAACUGCUUUUGUACGGUAACGAAAGACUUCGGGUUAAGUACCCUCGGAGCCAUGACGGUACCGUAACGAAUAAGACAACCGGCGUAACUACGUAGCC